AUUGAACGCUGGCGGCAUGCCUUACACAUGCAAGUCGAACGGCAGCAUGCUCUAGCUUGCUAGAUUGAUGGCGAGUGGCGAACGGGUGAGUAAUACAUCGGAACGUGCCCUGUAGUGGGGGAUAACUAGUAGCAAGAUUAGCUAAUACCGCAUACGACCUGAGGGUGAAAGUGGGGGACCGCAAGGCCUCAUGCUAUAGGAGCGGCCGAUGUCUGAUUAGCUAGUUGGUGAGGUAAAGGCUCACCAAGGCGACGAACAGUAGCUGGUCUGAGAGGCCGAUCAGCCACACGGGGACUGAGACAGGGCCCAGACUCCUACGGGAGGCAGCAGUGGGGAAUUUUGGACAAGGGGCGAAAGCCUGAUCCAGCAAUGCCGCGUGUGUGAAGAAGGCCUUCGGGUUGUAAAGCACUUUUGUCCGGAAAGAAAUGGCUCUGGUUAAUACCUGGGGUCGAUGACGGUACCGGAAGAAUAAGAACCGGCUAACUACGUG
rnacentral:rRNA from 1 species